CAAUGCAUGCAAUGAAACUGUAACCCAAUUCAUGGAAAAUGGAAAACACCCUUUUCUUUUAUGUUAAUUCUAAUAAUAAUUUUUUUGAUGUAAUUAUGAAAUUUUAGCAAUCAUUUUUUUUUCUGUUUCUUCACCAAAUAACUUGGAUGUGGAACUCUCCUGCAUAUUCUUUGAAAAGAGACGAAAUUCAAAGCAAAUUGAUCUCUUUGUAAACUUCUCAUAGCUUCCAUUACCUAUUUUCUUCAUCUUCCCGGAAAUAAUUUUUCCCAAUAUCUGUCUAAAUUUCGUUUUUGGGAUUUUUUUAGAUUUGGAACAAAUCCUAGAGCUUUGCUUCCCCCAUCGAAUUGAUGAAAUAAUUCAGGAUUCCUGAUCUAUUAGUUUGGAUUGGUGGUGGAUUUUCCUAGAAGAGGCUGUUUGGACCAGAAAAAGGGCUGGACUUGGGGGUCUGUUCUAGGCCUUUGAUCUCUUCUCACAGAUUGAAUUCUUUCGAUUUUUGUUUGCUCUUUAAUGGAAUUAUCAAGGACCCAUGUUGAUGUUGGAAUUGAGAAGAGAGAGUUGAUGAUUAUAAUGAGGACCUGAGAAUUUGGGAAAUUUUGAUGGGGAACGCAUGCGCUGGGCCAAGUAAUCUUGGUGGGAAUGGAUUCUUCCAAUCUGUCACACAGGCGGUUUGGCGGCAAAGGCCGCCUAAUCAGGACCAAUUGCCGGCGGCUAAUGAAGAUAACAGCAACAAAGGUUCCGACGAAUCUAAUAAAUCCAAAGGCUCGGAUGAUUGUCAAGAUUCCGCCGCAACUGAGAACAUUGCCCCUGAACCCGUCAAGAUCCCCAAUGCGGAGCCCAUGAAUAAGGAAGGGAACAAUGCCAAUAAGGCUUCGGGUCAAAAGCCAAAUAAUUUGAAGAGGUUGACAAGCACGGAACUGGAGUCAGUGCUUGGAAGGAAAACCGGGAAUAUGAAGGAGCUAUAUAGCUUGGGGCGUAAGUUAGGUCAAGGACAAUUCGGAACAACGUUUUUCUGUGUUGAAAAAAGCACUGGGAAAGAGUUCGCCUGCAAAUCCAUUGCCAAGAGGAAGCUGACCUCAACUGAUGAUUUGGAGGAUGUUAGAAGGGAGGUUCAUAUAAUGCACCAUCUCGCAGGUCACCCUAAUGUGAUACAAAUCAUAGGUGCUUACGAAGAUGCUGUGGCUAUUUAUCUUGUUAUGGAGUUUUGUGCUGGUGGGGAGCUUUUUGAUAGAAUCAUUCAGAGAGGGCAUUAUACCGAGAGAAAGGCAGCUGCACUUGCUAGGGUAAUGGUUGGUGUUGUUCAAGCAUGUCAUUCUCUUGGUGUUAUGCAUCGUGACCUCAAGCCCGAAAAUUUCCUGUUCAUUAACAAGGAUGAGGACGCCCCACUUAAAGCAAUUGAUUUUGGGCUUUCAAUGUUCUUUAAGCCAGGUGAAAUAUUCAAUGAUGUGGUUGGAAGUCCGUAUUAUGUGGCUCCAGAAGUGUUGCAGAAGCACUAUGGUCCAGAAUGUGAUGUUUGGAGUGCUGGAGUGAUCAUUUAUAUUUUACUUUGUGGAGUUCCCCCAUUCUGGGAUGAAACGGAGCAAGGGAUAUUUGAGCAGGUUAUGAGAGGUGAACUCGACUUUACAUCAGAGCCAUGGCCUAGUAUCUCUAACAGUGCAAAGGACUUGGUACGACGAAUGCUUAUAAAGGACCCUAAAAAGCGGUUGACAGCCCAUGAAGUUCUUUGGUCCUUGGAGGGACAUAUCUCCUAUGUCCUGAAAUGCAUUGGACACAGGGUGCUGUACCCAGGUCACCCUUGGGUUCAGGAGGAUGGCAUUGCUCCUGAUAAACCUCUUGAUUCAGCUGUCCUAUCGCGUUUGAAGCAAUUUUCUGCAAUGAAUAAGCUGAAGAAAAUUGCCAUCAGAGUCAUUGCUGAUAGCCUAUCAGAAGAGGAAAUUGCAGGCCUGAAAGAAAUGUUUAAGAUGAUAGAUGCAGAUAACAGUGGGAAUAUCACUCUUGAGGAACUGAAAAUUGGUUUGGAAAAAGUUGGUUCUAAGCUCAAGGAUUCUGAGAUUAAUGGGUUAAUGCAAGCGGCAGACAUUGAUAACAGUGGUACUAUAGACUAUAGCGAGUUCAUAGCGGCCAUGCUUCAUCUAAACAAGAUCCAGAAAGAGGAUCAUCUGUUUGCAGCUUUCAACUACUUUGACAAAGAUGGAAGUGGCUACAUUACUCCAGAUGAGCUCCAAAAGGCCUGUGAGCAGUUUGGCUUGCAAGAUGUUCACUUGGAAGAUGUAAUACGUGAAGUUGACCAGGAUAACGAUGGACGUAUUGACUAUAGUGAGUUUGUAGCUAUGAUGCAAGACACAGGUUUAACCGGAAAGCACAAAACAUUUAAGCAUUGAUACAUCAUCUUGCUACGGUUAAGUCAUUCAUUCAUCAGUCCAUUCGUUUGCCCUCGUCUGAAAAAGAAAAAGAUAAAAAAAAAAAAGGAGGAAUACACGGGACUUGGUAGCCAUGUUCAACACAAAUUGUUUAGCAGCUCUGUUUAGAACUGUAUCACGCUCGAUGCUGUGUCCCGUAGUGAUCUUGCUGGCCUCUAAGGUCGACUCAAUCAUAGGGUACUUCCAUCUUGCUACCAUAUCUCGCCUACUAGCAAGGCCAGCAUAUCUAGAUUCUCAGAAGGUUAUGCAGAAAAAAUGCCAUAUAACAUUUUGCUGGCGAAGAUUGGCUUGUUGACAAGGAGCGCCCCCAUGGCAGAGAGGUCAAAGCUUAUAGGAACCCAUAUUAUUUGGACCGAAGUUAAUGGCGUGGUUCGUAGGUUUCCCUCUGCUUUGAAGAGUUGUUUCUAUAAUGUUCUUAAAUAUUUUUGUUGCAGAAAAACGGACCACUUGGUUCAAUUUUACUCGUCCUUGAUUGGACCAUUGCAGAAACAACCGAACUCAUUGGUUAUUUCAACCCUUUUUACCAUCAGCAACAACUUACGUCUUCUUGUUUUCACAUCUAACAAAUCUCAGAUAUUUAUUUGCUCUCAAAUUACAAUUUAUCAUUAUUAAUCAUUUGAUGGUAAAAGUACCUUGAAAAUCUCUUUACUAA